rnacentral:rRNA from 1 species
CCUACGGGGCGCAGCAGUGGGGAAUAUUGCACAAUGGGGGAAACCCUGAUGCAGCGACGCCGCGUGAGUGAAGAAGUAUUUCGGUACGUAAAGCUCUAUCAGCAGGGAAGAAAAUGACGGUACCUGACUAAGAAGCCCCGGCUAACUACGUGCCAGCAGCCGCGGUAAUACGUAGGGGGCAAGCGUUAUCCGGAUUUACUGGGUGUAAAGGGAGCGUAGACGGCAGCGCAAGUCUGGAGUGAAAUCCCAUGGCUUAACCAUGGAACUGCUUUGGAACCUGUGCAGCUAGAGUGCAGGAGAGGUAAGCGGAAUUCCUAGUGUAGCGGUGAAAUGCGUAGAUAUUAGGAGGAACACCAGUGGCGAAGGCGGCUUACUGGACUGUAACUGACGUUGAGGCUCGAAAGCGUGGGGAGCAAACAGGAUUAGAUACCCCAGUAGUC